CAGCGAUCCAGCCGUCGCCACUGGUCCUGGCUUGCGGAGGCAAAGACCAAGAGGCAGGAGGAUUCCUCUCCCUUCUCACACCUCGGGAGAUUAAAAAGUAAACCAUAAAGUGAAGCUACGUUGUAUCAGUUCCAGGCAUCCCCAGUAUCUUUCCUCAGAGAGCUCCUAUUCAAGGCCAAUGCCACAUGCUCUGGACACAGCCUCCAGAGCCCAAUGCCCAGGUCCGAAUCCCAUUUCUGCUCAAGGACCAUAGCUGCAAGUGGAAACCGUAAUAAUGCUAGCUUCAAAGGUGCUCUGAGAUUGAAGCCUAUCAGUCAAGGUCCUCCCGAGGGUCAUCGGUCCUCCCAAGAAGUAUGGUUUCUCCACUGGCCCUCUUGAGCAGGAAGCUCCAGGGGGGACCUCAAGUUAGCUGGUGUUUAAUGCAGCAGCUGAGACCUCACCAUCUCCCUUUUUUCCUCUUGACUCAUCCACUGGCUGAAAGGGCAGCUGCCCCGGGGCAGCAAAGGAGACCCAGGAAAGGUUUUCAGUGGAUCCAUUUUCUCCCCGCUUGUUCGGACUUUCCCACGCAAAUCUUAAAAUGGCAACUCACUUCCAACUGAAAGACAGAAGCCAACUCCCCCUAUCUGGGCGAG